rnacentral:rRNA from 1 species
AUUGAACGCUGGCGGCAGGCCUAACACAUGCCAGUCGAGCGGAUGAAGGGAGCUUGCUCCUGGAUUCAGCGGCGGACGGGUGAGUAAUGCCUAGGAAUCUGCCUGGUAGUGGGGGAUAACGUCCGGAAACGGGCGCUAAUACCGCAUACGUCCUGAGGGAGAAAGUGGGGGAUCUUCGGACCUCACGCUAUCAGAUGAGCCUAGGUCGGAUUAGCUAGUUGGUGGGGUAAAGGCCUACCAAGGCGACGAUCCGUAACUGGUCUGAGAGGAUGAUCAGUCACACUGGAACUGAGACACGGUCCAGACUCCUACGGGAGGCAGCAGUGGGGAAUACUGGACAAUGGGCGAAAGCCUGAUCCAGCCAUGCCGCGUGUGUGAAGAAGGUCUUCGGAUUGUAAAGCACUUUAAGUUGGGAGGAAGGGCAGUAAGUUAAUACCUUGCUGUUUUGACGUUACCAACAGAAUAAGCACCGGCUAACUUCGUG